CAAUAGCGUAUGCUAAAGUUGUUGCAGUUAAAAGGCUCGUAGUCGAACUUAUGGCCCUGUGAACCUGGCCCAAUCUCUAGUAGAUUGCGUGCCGGUGUGCACGGGUCAUUCUUCUGGAGAUCAUCGCGAUCCUUGAUUGGGUCCGUGAUGUAAUUCAGAUCAUUUACUGUGAGAAAAUCAAAGUGUUCAAAGCAGGCUUUAAUGCUUGUAUGGUUCAGCAUGGAAUAAUAAGAUAAGACUUCGGUUUUGUUUUGUUGGCUAUACGAACCAAAGUAAUGAUUGAAAGGGAUAGUUGGGGGUGCUAGUAUUCAGUGGUCAGCGGUGAAAUGCGAGGACCCAUUGAAGACUAACUUAUGCGAAAGCAUUCACCAAGGAUAUCUNCUUUGA
rnacentral:rRNA from 1 species